GUGGGAAUCUAUCCAUGGGUUCGGAAUAACGGUUAGAAAUGACUGCUAAUACCGGAUGAUGUCGUAAGACCAAAGAUUUAUUACCCAGGGAUGAUCCCGCGUUCGAUUACCUAGUUGGUGGGGUAAAGGCCUACCAAGGUUACGAUCUUUAGCUGGUCUGAGAGGAUGAUCACCCACACUGGGACUGAGACACGGCCCACACUCCUACGGGAGGCACCUCUGGGGAAUAUUGGACAAUGGGCGAAAGCCUGAUCCAGCAAUGCCGCGUGAGUGAUAAAGGCCUUAGGGUUGUAAAGCUCUUUUACCCGCGAUGAUAAUGACAGUACCGGGAGAAUAAACCCCGGCUAACUCCGUGCCAGCAGCCGCGGAAAUACCUAGGGGGCUAGCAUUGUUCGGAAUUACUGGCCGUAAACCGUGCGUCAGCGGUAAUUCAAGUCAUAGGUGAAACCCUGGUGCUCAACCUCAGAACUGCCUUUGAUACUAGAUUGCUAGACUUGCGGAGAGGUGAGUGGAAUUCCGAGUGUAGAGGUAGAAUUCUUAUAUAUUCGGAAGAACACCAUUGAAGAAGGCGGCUCCCUGGACCCCUACUGACGCUGAGGCACGAACGCAUGCCGAGCAAACANCACUAGAUACCCUG
rnacentral:rRNA from 1 species